rnacentral:rRNA from 1 species
ACAGAGGGUGCAAGCGUUAAUCGGAAUUAAUGGGCGUAAAGCGCGCGUAGGUGGUUUGUUAAGUUGGAUGUGAAAGCCCCGGGCUCAACCUGGGAACUGCAUCCAAAACUGGCAAGCUAGAGUACAGUAGAGGGUGGUGGAAUUUCCUGUGUAGCGGUGAAAUGCGUAGAUAUAGGAAGGAACACCAGUGGCGAAGGCGACCACCUGGACUGAUACUGACACUGAGGUGCGAAAGCGUGGGGAGCAAACAGG